rnacentral:rRNA from 1 species
CCUACGGGUUGCAGCAGUGGGGAAUAUUGCACAAUGGGCGCAAGCCUGAUGCAGCCAUGCCGCGUGUGUGAAGAAGGCCUUCGGGUUGUAAAGCACUUUCAGCGGGGAGGAAGGCGUUAAGGUUAAUAACCUUGGCGAUUGACGUUACCCGCAGAAGAAGCACCGGCUAACUCCGUGCCAGCAGCCGCGGUAAUACGGAGGGUGCAAGCGUUAAUCGGAAUUACUGGGCGUAAAGCGCACGCAGGCGGUUUGUUAAGUCAGAUGUGAAAUCCCCGGGCUCAACCUGGGAACUGCAUCUGAUACUGGCAAGCUUGAGUCUCGUAGAGGGGGGUAGAAUUCCAGGUGUAGCGGUGAAAUGCGUAGAGAUCUGGAGGAAUACCGGUGGCGAAGGCGGCCCCCUGGACGAAGACUGACGCUCAGGUGCGAAAGCGUGGGGAGCAAACAGGAUUAGAUACCCGUGUAGUC